rnacentral:rRNA from 1 species
GACGAACGCUGUCGGCGUGCUUAACACAUGCAAGUCGAACGGUAAGGCCCUUCGGGGUACACGAGUGGCGAACGGGUGAGUAACACGUGGGUGAUCUGCCCUGCACUUCGGGAUAAGCCUGGGAAACUGGGUCUAAUACCGGAUAGGACCACUGCCUGCAUGGGUGGUGGUGGAAAGCUUUUGCGGUGUGGGAUGGGCCCGCGGCCUAUCAGCUUGUUGGUGGGGUGAUGGCCUACCAAGGCGACGACGGGUAGCCGGCCUGAGAGGGUGACCGGCCACACUGUGACUGAGAUACGGCCCAGACUCAUACGGGGGGCAGCAGUGGGGAAUAUUGCACCAUGGGCGCAAGCCUGAUGCAGCGACGCCGCGUGAGGGAUGACGGCCUUCGGGUUGUAAACCUCUUUCAGCACCGACGAAGCGCAAGUGACGGUAGGUGCAGAAGAAGGACCGGCCAACUACGUGCCAGCAGCCGCAGUAACAC